rnacentral:rRNA from 1 species
CCUACGGGUGGCAGCAGUGGGGAAUAUUGCGCAAUGGGCGAAAGCCUGACGCAGCGACGCCGCGUGAGGGAUGAAGGUCUUCGGAUCGUAAACCUCUGUCAGCAGGGAAGAACGGUAAGUGUGCUAAUCAGCAGGGAAUUGACGGUACCGGCAAAGGAAGCACGGGCUAACGCCGUGCCAGCAGCCGCGGUAAUACGGAGGGUGGGAGCGUUAAUCGGAAUUACUGGGCGUAAAGCGCUCGUAGGCGGUAUGUCAAGGCAAGGGUGAAAUCCCCGCGCUCAACGUGGGAACUGCCUUUGAAACUGGCAGACUGGAGUGUGUGAGAGGAUAGUGGAAUUCCAGGUGUAGGAGUGAAAUCCGUAGAUAUCUGGAGGAACAUCAGUUGCGAAGGCGACUAUCUGGCACAUAACUGACGCUGAGGAGCGAAAGCGUGGGUAGCAAACAGGAUUAGAUACCCUUGUAGUC